AUAUUGAAGGAAUAUACGACACUUUGAAGGAGUGUGCUGUUAUUAGUAAAUCUGCUGGAGGAAUUGGAGUUUCUGUACACAACAUCGAUGCCACUAGUCUUAGCUUUGAAGGAUCUUUCUCUGGAUGGAACACUGGCUCCUGAAAUUUGUAAUCUUUUGUACACGAAGUUGAUAUAGUGUCACUGGGUAGGAGAAAGUUCAGCACAGAUUUUCAGACUGCUAAAGGCGUUGAUGUUCUUUGGAUUUAUAGUGACGGUUAGCAUCCUCUUUAUGUUUGUGAAUCUUAAAGUUGGUGACAUCUUUGCGAGCAAAGAGCACAACAGCUGAUCCAAAUGCAUUGAUUGAUGAAUGGAGAAUACACAAGAAGCAAGUUAUGGCUUCAUGACCUUGCUGGAAGUGAGAGAUUAGCCAAGCCAGACGUUUAAGGAGAUCCGCUGAAAGAAACUCAAAUUAUUAACAGAUCCUUAUCUGCA